GACGAACGCUGGCGGCAUGCCUAACACAUGCAAGUCGAACGGAACGUCCGUGCCUUUGGGCGCUGGUCGGCUUGCCACCGGGGAACCAACCCGUGAGUUCCCAGUAACUCACUUUGGGAUAUCUUAAGGACACUGGAGCUCUUACCAGCUAGGAGUUCUCGCCGCUGGGUGGGCGUGGGUAAGUUUCGUCGGUUGGGGAUGGAAUAGCGGCGUAUGAGCUUGAUGGUGGGGUAGUGGCAUAGCAUGGCCAGGACGGGUAGCAGGCCUGAGAGGCUGACCGGCCACAUUGGGACUGAGAUGCGGCCCAGACUCCUACGGGAGGCAGCGGUGGGGAAGAUUGUACAAUGGGAGGAAGGCUGAUGCGACAACGCCGCGUGCGGGAUGUCGUCCUGCGGGUUGUAAAGCGCUGUCGCCUGUGACGAGGCGUUAGUGACGGUAAUGGGUGAAGAAGCACCGGCUAACUACGUG
rnacentral:rRNA from 1 species